UACGGAGGAUGCGAGCGUUAUCCGGAUUUAUUGGGUUUAAAGGGUGCGUAGGCGGCUUGGUAAGCGUGAGGUGAAAUGCCAUUGCUCAACAUUGGAACUGCCUCGCGAACUGUCUGGCUUGAAUGUCCGUGCCGUGGGAGGAAUGUGUGGUGUAGCGGUGAAAUGCAUAGAGAUCACACAGAACACCGAUUGCGAAGGCAUCUCACGAACGGGCGAUUGACGCUGAUGCACGAAAGCGUGGGGAU
rnacentral:rRNA from 1 species